UGGGGAAUUUUGGACAAUGGGGGAAACCCUGAUCCAGCCAUCCCGCGUGUGCGAUGAAGGCCUUCGGGUUGUAAAGCACUUUUGGCAGGAAAGAAACGUCGCGGGUUAAUACCCCGCGAAACUGACGGUACCUGCAGGAUAAGCACCGGCUAACUACGUGCCAGCAGCCGCGGUAAUACGUAGGGUGCAAGCGUUAAUCGGAAUUACUGGGCGUAAAGCGUGCGCAGGCGGUUCGGAAAGAAAGAUGUGAAAUCCCAGAGCUUAACUUUGGAACUGCAUUUUUAACUACCGGGCUAGAGUGUGUCAGAGGGAGGUGGAAUUCCGCGUGUAGCAGUGAAAUGCGUAGAUAUGCGGAGGAACACCGAUGGCGAAGGCAGCCUCCUGGGAUAACACUGACGCUCAUGCACGAAAGCGUGGGGAGCAAACAGGAUUAGAUACCCUGGUAGUCCACGCCCUAAACGAUGUCAACUAGCUGUUGGGGCCUUCGGGCCUUGGUAGCGCAGCUAACGCGUGAAGUUGACCGCCUGGGGAGUACGGUCGCAAGAUUAAAACUCAAAGGAAUUG
rnacentral:rRNA from 1 species